GGACUACUCGGGUUUCUAAUCCUGUUUGCUCCCCACGCUUUCGUGCAUGAGCGUCAGUGUCAGCCCAGAGACCUGCCUUCGCCAUCGGUAUUCCUCCUGAUAUCUACGCAUUUCACUGCUACACCAGGAAUUCCAGUCUCCUCUGCCGCACUCCAGCCUUGCAGUCCCAAAUGCCAUUCCCAGGUUAAGCCCGGGGAUUUCACAUCCGGCUUGCAAAACCGCCUGCGCACGCUUUACGCCCAGUAAUUCCGAUUAACGCUCGCACCCUACGUAUUACCGCGGCUACUGGCACGUAGUUAGCCGGUGCUUAUUCUUCCGGUACCGUCAGUAGCGGACGAUAUUCACGUCCACCGUUUCGUUCCGGACAAAAGAGCUUUACAACCCGAAGGCCUUCUUCACU
rnacentral:misc_RNA from 1 species